GCAGUCGAGCGGACUUACAAAAGCUUGCUUUUGUAAGUUAGCGGCGGACGGGUGAGUAACACGUGGGCAACCUGCCCUUGAGACUGGGAUAACUUCGGGAAACCGGAGCUAAUACCGGAUAAUAUGAGGAACCUCCUGGUUCCUUAUUGAAAGAUGGUUUCGGCUAUCACUUAAGGAUGGGCCCGCGGCGCAUUAGCUAGUUGGUGAGGUAACGGCUCACCAAGGCGACGAUGCGUAGCCGACCUGAGAGGGUGAUCGGCCACACUGGGACUGAGACACGGCCCAGACUCCUACGGGAGGCAGCAGUAGGGAAUCUUCCACAAUGGACGAAAGUCUGAUGGAGCAACGCCGCGUGAGUGAUGAAGGCCUUCGGGUCGUAAAGCUCUGUUGUUAGGGAAGAACAAGUGCGAGAGUAACUGCUCGCACCUUGACGGUACCUAACCAGAAAGCCACGGCUAACUACGUGCCAGCAGCCGCGGUAAUACGUAGGUGGCAAGCGUUAUCCGGAAUUAUUGGGCGUAAAGCGCGCGCAGGUGGUUUCUUAAGUCUGAUGUGAAAGCCCACGGCUCAACCGUGGAGGGUCAUUGGAAACUGGGGAACUUGAGUGCAGAAGAGGAAAGUGGAAUUCCAAGUGUAGCGGUGAAAUGCGUAGAGAUUUGGAGGA
rnacentral:rRNA from 1 species